rnacentral:misc_RNA from 1 species
GACUUGAAGAGAGGCCUUCUUAAUGAAGCUGAGGAACGACUAGUUAUUGAUCUCCAUGCCCGUCUGGGCAACAGGUGGUCCAAGAUUGCUGCAAGAUUGCCUGGAAGAACAGAUAAUGAGAUCAAGAAUCACUGGAAUACCCACAUCAAGAAAAAGCUGAUUAAGAUGGGAAUCGAUCCGGUUACGCAUGAGCCUCUCCAGAAACAAAACAACCCAGAAGCAGCACCUUGUAACAAUAUUAUAUAUGAUCAUCAGCCCAAUUUCAAUGGUGAUCAGCAUGACAUACCAAAUAAUAUUUGCGCCCAAGCCGCCUCCUUCUCCUCAUCCUCCAGUG